GCACUGCUGAUGAGUCCCAAACAGGACGAGACAGAUGUCCAGUGC
rnacentral:hammerhead_ribozyme from 1 species